GGGUCAGUAGGUUGGUCGUGCCACCGGUACGUACUGGUCUCACUGACUCCUCCUUCCUGAAGAACCGUAAUGCCAUUAAUUUGGUGUUGCGGGGAAACAGGACUGUUACUUUGAAAAAAUUAGAGUGUUUAAAGCAAGCUAACGCUUGAAUACAUUAGCAUGGAAUAAUGAAAUAGGACGAUCGAUCCUAUUUUGCUGGUUUCUAGGAUUGACGUA
rnacentral:rRNA from 1 species